rnacentral:rRNA from 1 species
UACGUAGGGGGCAAGCGUUGUCCGGAAUCAUUGGGCGUAAAGAGCGUGUAGGCGGCCAGAUAAGUCCGCUGUGAAAUCUCGAGGCUCAACUUCGAGCUGUCGGUGGAAACUGUCUGGCUAGAGUCCGGAAGAGAAGAAUGGAAUUCCUGGUGUAGCGGUGAAAUGCGCAGAUAUCAGGAAGAACACCCGUGGCGAAGGCGGUUCUCUGGGACGGUACUGACGCUGAGACGCGAAAGCGUGGGGAGCGAACAGG